ensembl:lncRNA
AAAAAAUAGUUGUGCCCAUUAGUCAUGAUAACUUCUAAUUCAUUGUCAGUAUGACUACAAAUUAUUGAAACAGUUGGGAUAACUCAGAAUUUUGUGUUUGUCUUCUCAACUAGUGAAAAGUUUUCAAACUAAGAAACAUGAUUCAAUUGAAAUUAAGAAUGUCAGUCAAAAGGAUGUACGGAUAAUCGCUUCUGUCAUUGGCUGCCUACAAAAACCUAAAAAACGUUUGCAGGCAAAAAACCAUUCUGCUGCCGCUCAUUUUCACCAUAUUGAAGUCGGUUCGGUAGUUUGGAUUACCCUGCUAGAAUCAGAGAUCUCUAAAAUAGAUCGUUUAUUUGAAAAUAAAAGAGAGAAAACUAUUUUUUAAAGCCUUUUCUGGAUAUCUCUGAUAUAGUGAAACUUCAGUGUAACUGCGUGUCGCGCGUGACCCCGCCACUCUAUCUCCAGCGCGAGGCCGAGCUGAUGGCCGAGCAGUGCACCGGGCAGAUGAGUUCAAUGUGACGGAGAAACCCACAGCCGUCGCACAGAGACACUCUCCUUUCUCCUCAGGAAGAAACUGGUGCCUGCUCCACAGUUUGUCAUCACGGUCCUGGUCUGAUAUGCUCCAUUUCGCCUCCUCUUGAUCAAUGAGAUGGAUAUGUACGUUUUACACGUACGUCACAAGAAAUCGUCGAAGAAUCCUUGAACACUACAGAUCCAGUCAUGGUCACUAUGGAAGAAGACUAGCUCUCCCCUGCAUUUACAGCGAUUGUGUGUGCUAUUUCCCAUCACAAAAGGCUCUCCAAACACAUAAUUCCAACCAAAGAAAAGAGGAUGUCAUUCUGAGGGGCCUGCCGUAUUUCCUCCGUGAAGAUCCUUCAAAGUUCCUCAGGACUGCAGAGCCCACAGACAUGGAGGACAGCAUGACUAGGGGAAUGAAUGUCGGCAUUGUCGUAGUCAAACAAGGAGAGGAUCUUCUUGACAUAUCGGUGGUCCUAGAGGAACAGAUCAUUCUGCAUGGAAUCAAGGACUACUCACAUGCAGUCGUUAUGUUAAUGGGGCUGCUAUAUGCACUGAACAUUGACUACCCGAAGGAGCUGCAAUACACCUUCGAAGUCAUUCAGAAGGUUCUCAUGAACAUCGGCAGUGAGAACUGCUCCAGGGUUCAUGGACUGAGGAAUAGACUUUUUCGUAAAACUGUGUAGACACUACACUGAGACUGAGAGUUUUCUUUUGAGUUCUGUUACUACUAUUCUGUUACUACUAUCUGUUACUAGUUCAUUACUUUUGUAAUGGUCAAUGACAUUCUCAGUUGCAAGAGUUGACAGAAGUAGACUGGGUUUGAGGUCUUUCCUGGAAAGUCUUUUUGACCUGUUUGGUUCUGCAUCAUUUUAUUUUAUAUAAAUUAUACUCAUUACGUCUGUCAUGUUAUGACAGACGUAAUGAGUAGAGAACUAAUUUUUGUUAUUCUAAAUGUGUUAUUGUAAUAUUCUAAAUAGGCACACACACACACACGGCUCUCUCAUUUUUUUUGUAUACAUCCCAUAUCUGCUUCCUCUGGUCUCAUCUCCCAUAUUGCUAAUUAAUGUUUUAUUUUCUCUUUAAUAAAACAGUGACACACACACACACCUCUGUUUAAAUAUUUCUCUCCCGCCUGCCUCACUUCCCCUCACUUCAUCUUGUCAUUGCCUGUCAGUAGGGAUCCUUCUCUUGCUGGUACUCAAUGGACGUAAUGAGUACUCAUUUGUGUUAUUCUAAAGAGGAGAUGUUUUACCCAUAAGCUUGUGCUGUUUUUGGGGACGUUUUGUACUUGAUGGGAUGUGUUGCUGUGUUUACCUUGCCCAUCUGGUUUAUUAAAGCUUUGAAGAAAUGUUAAGCUUGCUGGUAGUUCUACCAGGAGGACUCAAAUCACUCGCGGCUGGCCGUCAAUCACCAAUCAGCAGCUACCAAUCACCUGCCUACACCUGCUCUAUAAAGAGUAGUCUAACAUAUGUCUUUGCUGCUCAGGUCUUCGUUCGACGCAUGCUGCUGCUUUACUGUGCUUCUGAUUAUCUCGCAUAUCUCGUCGCUUAGUUACGUCGGUUAAUACACACCAAGAGGUCAUAACUUUGGAUUCGUGCUGGUCGGCCUACUACUUCUGGUCCGGGCAAGUGAGCGCAGAAAGCCGUUAAUUUCGGUCCCCGGUAUCCUCAACAACACCACCAAGAAGUUCCCAACACGGACAUCCGCCUGGUUCUACAAACCCUCGCCGAGUUGGUGCAAAGCAUUUGGCGCCAGGAUGGACGCCGUCGAAACACCAUGCGGAACUCCCGGACGGGUCCAGGCCCCCAACCCGCUGUCGUCAGUCGCCACGGCGCCUUUCUACUUCCAGCAACCAUCAGGCUCGGCUUCCCCCCUUCUUCACAGGCUACGCACCUGGCACGUGCCCUGCUACCAUGGCUAUUGCAGUCCCCGCGUUAGCCCCCGCAGCGUAUUCUCUCUCACAGCUCUACCAGUCCAGCUUCAGGAUGCGGCUCCCUCGGUCGGGUUAGGGGGGUUUCUUCCAAGGGCAAUGGUUUGCUGAGAGAUGGCCAGUCGAAGCUGGCACGUUUGCCCUCGGGUCAGAGUCGUCUGCGCUGUUCGAGCUUUACCCUAUCGUAGCAGCUAGCGUUCUGUGGGGCAAAGCAUGGCGGUGUUAACGUAUAACCAUGUUUUGCGAUAACAAAGCAGCGUCAACGGCUGGGAAGGUGGUCUUCCACAGCAUACGGAUUUUACAUCCGGUUGAAUUCGGUGAGUUCGUUGCACACGUCGGUGUGGUUCAACGCAGAACUCUACGUUCGCAAUCAAAGGUUCAUAAUUAUCUUUAUACCGUGUACUAAAAAAUGUGUAAGUUUUCUCUUCAUAACGCCACCUCAAGUGUUUUAUUAGCCGUUUUCUGUUAUUACUUUUUGCUGGAGAAGGAGGGGUGGGCAGCCGAAAGGAGUCAUAGCGAGACAUGUUUCGGCCUGGCAUUCGAGAGGGCCUAGUGAACUGUUCGGUUAACUUCUUGUGUCUGAGGUUUUUCCCUUCACUUUAACAUGAAUGAUGUUUAUGGGUUUUAGGCACUGUGGUAACUGAAUAUCACUAAGGUUUUUAUUGACGAAGGGACUUUUAGAUUGGUUCAGCUGCUGCUCACUAACUCUCACGUUCCUCUGCUCGCGAUGCGAUUCACAUAUCGAUCAAUUUAUUGAUUUAUUUAUAUAUAAAAGAUCCAAAGACAAAGAACAGGUACAUUAUGGUAUCAUUUUAUAUUAUUAUUUAUAGUCUUAUUGUUAAUGGCUUCAGUCGCGUUGGUAUUUAAUUUUUCAUUUGCUCGUUUAUGUAUGACAGUUAACAAUGUUGGUGUAUUACAAUUAUUUACGCGUGUAGGCCACUCCAACUCGAUAUUUCAAAUAGAUUAGUGUGCUCUAUCAGAGCUGGGAGAUUUCAUCCUUAUUUUAACAUAUUACUCGAGACGGUGUUUCUCACAGCGUUCUCGGGUUCAUGCGUUCUCGGGUUCAUGCGUUCAUGCGUCCAUGCAUACAUGUCUCCUACUCAGACUUUUCCCCUACACGGGGUAUUUAAUUUUUCAUUUGCUUGUUUAGCUAUGUAUGACAGUUAACAAUUUUGGUGUAUUACAAUUAUUUAUGUGUGUUGGCCACUCCAACUCACACUCGAUUUUUUGAAUAGAUUAGUGUGCUCUCUGGGAGAUUUCAUCCUUAUUUUAACAUAUUACUCGAGACGGUGUUUCUCACAGCGUUCUACGGGUUCACGCGUUCUACGGGUUCACGCGUUCUACGGGUUCACGCGUUCUACGGGUUUACGCGUUCCACGGGUUUACGCGUUCCACGGGUUUACGCGUUCCACGGGUUUACGCGUUCCACGGGUUUACGCGUUCCACGGGUUUACGCGUUCCACGGGUUUACGCGUUUUACGGGUUUAUGCGUUCUUGCGUUCAUGCGCAAAUGCGUACACGUCUCCUACUCAGACUUUUUCCCCUACACGGGGCCUGACUUUCGCCGACGUCACCUUCUCUUUCUUGCAAGGCAUUUUUCCAUCUAAAAGCGAUAGCCUAGGAGCAGCUGUUACUAUUAUCAUUUCAAGAAUCAACAACUCUCUGUCCUUACGCUUCCAUGUUCCUUUAUCUCAAGCUUCGGCAAUGCACGUCCCCGAAUCACCUGUUUAUUUGCGGCCUGCCAAUGCCUCAAGGGUGGUUCAGAGUCCAUCUCGCGACGGUGGUAGAAGGGUGCGGCCUACCAUCUCCCCUCUACACUCAGUGGCGCCACCAUGGGGUGGCGAGGGGUGGCUACUGCCACCCCAAAAUCAUUCUUUGCCACCCCAUUUGCCACCCCUAAGACAAUUUUUAUUAUGCAUAUUUAUUUAAAAUAUAUAAUGUAGUCUAGAUUAUAUUAUAAUGUAGUCCCCCCUCGGCCAACAAUCGCUGCCCGGGAUGUUUAUAGAUUUGCUGUGGCCCCCAUUGGCCACCCCUGGAAUAAUCUUCUGGAGGCGCCACUGUCUACACUGGCCACUCCUCCCGGAUUGGAGCGGCAACCACAGCCACUGAACAAGGGUUGCCGGUCGCGUCUAUCAAACGGCUGGGAAGGCGGUCUUCCACAGCUUACGAAUCCUACAUCCGGUUGAAUUCAUGGUUCUUUCUCCAAGCGCACACGAUGCUCUAACGUCGGUUAAGGCAGGUUUAUCACGUAUGCUACUACAGCUGUUUUUGGCGGCCUGUUUCCAUUCUAGUUUUAGUCUUGGUGUCAAGGUGUCAUUUUUGUUUUUAUUAGUUUAGUCACGUUCAUACUCUUUCCAGUGAUAUCGAAAUUCCGUUUAGGUAUUAUCAAAGAUACAAGUGCGUAGAUUUGUUAAAUAAGGUAAACGGUCGAAAAUUGAUGUCGUUAUGUCUCAACAGUUGAAGUUCCAGUUGGACAAAAUAACGUAUUACAGUUUAUCGCCUAGUUUAGGUCAACGGAAAUGAAGACAUUUUAGUAAAACACUUUCAGUCUCUUUUGUAUUCGCCAACAACAUUGCACUACGUAUUUAAUUAUAGUUAUUGUCAUAUGACCAGCAUUGUUCUCCUCACGCGAUAAAGGUUCGUUGAUGACGACAUUUAGUCAUAAUUUUCGGUGUCAAAAGCAACACUAUUUGCAACUACUGGUGGUGGUGGUGGUUGGUACUAAACUCAUAAAGCAAAAUUUGGCUAUAUAACUCAAGGUUAACCUGCAGCAACCCCGGCAAGUUUGACCACGUCGGUGGAUCAUCUAGAAAACACUCUUGAGUUCGGUGUCACGUUGGUGGCAUAUCAUGGAAAAAAUAAAACUCAAGGUUCACAGCGGCGACCCCGGUGAGUGCGUUGGCCAAAGCGCAGCGGUAACAACUCGGGCACUCGUAACUAUGACCACGUCGGUGGCACGUUAUCUAUUACUCAUGGUUGACUGCAGUAACCCCGGUGAGUGCGUUGACCAUGUCAACGCACAAUUGGGGCACAACUCAGGCACUCGUGAGUUUGUUGCACACGUCGGUGCGGUACAGUACUCAACGUCCUACAUCCGGUCGAGUUCAAGGUUCUUUCUUCAAGCGCACACGAUGCUCUCUUAACGUCGGUUAAGACAGGUUUUACACGUUUGCAACCAUAGCUGUUUUUGGCGGCCUGUUCCUUUCUAGUGUUAGUCUAGUCUUGUGUCAAGCUGUCAUUUUAGUUUUUAUUAGUUUUAGUUACAUUCAUACUCUUUCCAGUGUUAUCGUAAUUCCAUUUAGAUAUUAUCAAAGUUACAAGUGCGUAGUUUUGUUAAAUAAGGUAAACGGUUGAAAAUUGAUGUUAUUUCUGGGACAGUUGAAGUUCCAGUUGAACAAAAUAACGUUAUAAGUCUUUAUCGCCUAGUUUAGGUCGACGAAAAUGAAGAGACAUUUUAGCAGUCUUAUUUUCGUAAAACACUUUUUAGUCUUGUUUUAUUCGCCAACUAUAUUGUACUAUGCUUUUAAUCACAGCUAUUGUCACACGCCCAGCAUCCACGUUGCGUCCAGUCUCGUUUUUCUCACGCGAUAAAGGCUUGUUGAUGACGACUCUUAGUCAUAAUUUUCAUUGCCAAAAGCAACACUAUUCUGGCGGCCUGUUUCCAUUCCAGGGUUAUUCUAGUCUUAGUGUCUAGCUGUUAUUUUAGUAUAUUCGUUUUAGUUACGUCUAUAUUCUUUCUAGUGUUAUCGAAAUAUAUUGCACUAUGUAUUUAACUACAGUUAUUGUCACACGCCCAGCAUGCACGUUGCGUCCUGUUUGUUUUUUGUUUGUUUGUUUGUUUUUCUUUCUCACGCGAUAAAGGUUCGUGAUGACGAUAUUUUGUCAUUAUUUUCGUUGCUAAAAGCGACAUUAUUUGCAACUACUGGUGGUGGUGGUUAUCAGGUACUAAAGCAAAAUUCGGUUUCAUAACUCAGGUUAACCUGCAGCAACCCCGGCGAGUGUGACCACGUCGGUGGAUCAUCUAGAAAACACUCUUGAGUUCGCUGUCACGUCAGUGGCGUAAAAUAGGAAAAUAAAACUCAAGGUUGCAGCGACAACCCCGGUGAGUGCGUGACCACGUCGGUGGCACUACUCAUGCACAUGCAAAUUUAAUUACCACGUCGGUGGCAUAAUAUCAAAAGCUCAAGUGCAGGGCACUCGGAGUUCAUUGACCACGUCGGUGUUUAACACGGAAGUUCACAAUAUUUGCUGCAGCAACACCGGUGAGUGCGUGACCACGUCGGUGGCACAGCAAGGGCACUUUCGUGAUUUCGUUGACCACGUCGGUGUUCAACACGGAACUUCACAAUAUUUGCUGCAGCAACACCGGUGAGUGCGUGACCACGUCGGUGGCACAUCAAGGGC